rnacentral:rRNA from 1 species
GCCUUACAUGCAGUCGAACGGUAACGCGGGGCAACCUGGCGACGAGUGGCGAACGGGUGAGUAAUACAUCGGAACGUGCCCAGUAGUGGGGGAUAGCCCGGCGAAAGCCGGAUUAAUACCGCAUACGACCUACGGGUGAAAGCGGGGGAUCGCAAGACCUCGCGCUAUUGGAGCGGCCGAUGUCAGAUUAGGUAGUUGGUGAGGUAAAGGCUCACCAAGCCUACGAUCUGUAGCUGGUCUGAGAGGACGACCAGCCACACUGGGACUGAGACACGGCCCAGACUCCUACGGGAGGCAGCAGUGGGGAAUUUUGGACAAUGGGCGCAAGCCUGAUCCAGCCAUGCCGCGUGCGGGAAGAAGGCCUUCGGGUUGUAAACCGCUUUUGUCAGGGAAGAAACGCUCUGGGCUAAUACCCUGGGGUAAUGACGGUACCUGAAGAAUAAGCACCGGCUAACUACGUGCCAGCAGCCGCGGUAAUACGGAGGGUGCGAGCGUUAAUCGGAAUUACUGGGCGUAAAGCGCGCGUAGGUGGUUUGUUAAGUCAGCUGUGAAAGCCCCGGGCUCAACCUGGGAACUGCAGUUGAUACUGGCCGACUAGAGUACGAGAGAGGGAGGUAGAAUUCCAUGUGUAGCGGUGAAAUGCGUAGAUAUAUGGAGGAAUACCGGUGGCGAAGGCGGCCUCCUGGCUCGAUACUGACGCUGAGGUGCGAAAGCGUGGGGAUCAAACAGGAUUAGAUACCCUGGUAGUCCACGCCGUAAACGAUGUCUACUAGCCGUUGGGAGACUUGAUUUCUUAGUGG